AGCCCUUCACUGGGAAGCUGGCUUGCUUUGGAAGGCAAGCUGCCCAGUGAAGGGCUGU
rnacentral:pre_miRNA from 1 species